GCCAGCCAUUUGAAAGCAUUUCUAAUCCAUAAAGAGUACCCUGUCCCACAAGUAUCAGCAGAGAUAAUGGAAUCACCUAAAGUAGGUGUCUCAGCCUGGUCCAUCGGGGCUGAUUUCCUUGAACGAGUGCCCGAAAGUUGAAGCUCCAAGGGAGAGAAGGACCAAGGAGAAGACAUUCUGUUUUGGGGAUCGGGGGACAACGGCACCAGACAAGCUCAAUCUCGGAUCGUACCACUCUCCCACUUCCUCCCCUUCUGUUUUGCCUCGUUCCAAAGCCCACCCAGCUUCAUCCCUCACCAUUUCGCCCGGCCUCAAACCCUAACCUUGCCCUGAAGUCCACUUGGGAUUCCCAGAUUGCGUCCCUAGUAGGAACGCAGGCGCUGACUCUGACACUCCGAGAGCUCGGCGCGACGCCGCGCCCGGAAGCCCGCACCUUUGCGCCCCGCGCAGCGCACCUCGGCACACCCCAGCGCUGCGGCCAGGAGCGAGCCUCUGGCCUCCCCAGAGGCAGAAGCAAAGGCUAGGGGACCGAACGGCACUGGGCCAGAUCUUCCCUCCUCUUCCAAGCCGGGCUUUGCGGAGAGAGGGAGGGAGAGGAAGGAAGGAAGGUGGGGGAGAAGAAGAGAGAGAAGAAGGAAGAAAGAAAAAGGAGAGAGGGAGGGAGAGAGAUAGAGGGAAGCAGCAGCCUCUUUCCCCAGAUUGCCUGUCCCACUUUCCUCCUCCCCAGUUGAGUUUGUUCCAGUCGGGCAGAAGCCGAGAGCCAGGAGCUGGGCAGAGGGCUGAGCUGCUUGAGCCCCAGCCUAAACCCGAGCCGGAGCUGAGGAGAACUGGGCUCGGCUGCGCUCGCUCGGACGGGUUGCACCGGCUGGGUUGGGUUGGGCUGGGCUGGGCUGGGCUGGGCUGGGUUGGGCUAGGCUAG
rnacentral:lncRNA from 1 species